rnacentral:misc_RNA from 1 species
UCAAGAAUUGUCCCAAAAUUUACUCGACCUGUAACUGACAUGAUUGAUGGUCUAUGGGUUUCUUGUGAUCGGGCACUAAUGCGACAGCCUGCCUUGAGACUUAGUAUUAUGAUCUAUUGGGCUGUACUGCAUGCAUUACUUGCAGCUUUUGUGGUUUGACAAGCCAAACUGGUUCCCAUGUAUUUUGAAGGCCAGGUGAGCACAAACUCCUGUCCAGUAUCAUGCGUCUGAUGGGUUUUGAGCCUGUGUAUAUAAUGAUUUUUUUUCCUUUCAAAUAUGACCAGAUUGAUUUAUUGUUUAGGCUCAACCAGGCAAACUGCGAUUGCAAUUUUAGUUUUACAAAUCUCGGAUUGCUUGGUUGUAUCCAAUAAGAGGGGGGGAAAAAAAACCUUGUUACCAUUACAGAGGGCAUGGCAUUAGAAUUUGUUUACUUGAACCAACCAAAGGUUGUAUCUUACUACUUUCAUCAUCACAUUAUUUCUUUAUAAGCUUAGAGGGUUUUUCUCUUGAAAUUGAACUUCGCCGGCACUUUGAAUGGUAUUUGUACGCGGUAAGUUUUUGGUUAGCGGAUUGUAUUCGUGUCCAAAGUCCAAUAACAACAAAUUUUGGGUAUGGAUUGGUGUUAUAGUUUUGCUCAAUCGAAACUUAGAUAAGUUGUAAUUCUGAAUAACCAAUAGCAGAAAUUAGUAGUUGAGAUCAUUUGAAUUUAUGUCUCCUAAUCUCUCACCGGUUGAUUCAU